GAUGAACGCUGACAGAAUGCUUAACACAUGCAAGUCAACUUGAACUUCGGUUUGGGUGGCGGACGGGUGAGUAACGCGUAAAGAACUUGCCUCACAGAUAGGGACAACAUUUGGAAACGAAUGCUAAUACCUGAUAUUAUGAUUAUAUGGCAUCGUAUAAUUAUGAAAGCUAUAUGCGCUGUGAGAGAGCUUUGCGUCCCAUUAGCUAGUUGGAGAGGUAACGGCUCACCAAGGCGAUGAUGGGUAGCCGGCCUGAGAGGGUGAUCGGCCACAAGGGGACGGAGACACGGCCCUUACUCCUACGUGAGGCAGCAGUGGGGAAUAUGGGACAAUGGACCAAGAGUCUGAUCCAGCAAUUCUGUGUGCACGAUGAAGUUUUUCGGAAUGUAAAGUGCUUUCAGUUGGGAAGAAAAAAAUGACGGUACCAACAGAAGAAGUGACGGCUAAAUACGUG
rnacentral:rRNA from 1 species